rnacentral:rRNA from 1 species
AACGAACGCUGGCGGCAGGCUUAACACAUGCAAGUCGAGCGCCCCGCAAGGGGAGCGGCAGACGGGUGAGUAACGCGUGGGAAUCUACCCAUCUCUACGGAACAACUCCGGGAAACUGGAGCUAAUACCGUAUACGUCCUUUUGGAGAAAGAUUUAUCGGAGAUGGAUGAGCCCGCGUUGGAUUAGCUAGUUGGUGGGGUAAUGGCCUACCAAGGCGACGAUCCAUAGCUGGUCUGAGAGGAUGAUCAGCCACACUGGGACUGAGACACGGCCCAGACUCCUACGGGAGGCAGCAGUGGGGAAUAUUGGACAAUGGGCGAAAGCCUGAUCCAGCCAUGCCGCGUGAGUGAUGAAGGCCCUAGGGUUGUAAAGCUCUUUCAACGGUGAAGAUAAUGACGGUAACCGUAGAAGAAGCCCCGGCUAACUUCGUGCCAGCCGCCGCGGUAAUAC